rnacentral:snRNA from 1 species
UUGCUCCUUUGGCAACACACAUACUAAAAUUGGAAUGAUACAGAGAAGUUUAGUAUGGCCCCUGCGUAAGGAUGACAUGCAAAUUUGUGACGCGUUCCAUAUAUAC